UAUGGUCUUGUCUAUUGAUAAGACAGAAA
rnacentral:piRNA from 1 species